CUCUUGCGUGAGUGAUGGAAGUGUAGCUCUUUUUUUGAGAGGCAUUUUUCAGCCUCUCAAAAAAAAGCGGGAACGGACAGCACGGUCCGGA
rnacentral:sRNA from 1 species